AGUGCUCGCCCUUCUUCUGUGCCAUAAAGCCCCUCGGUCGAAACUUGCAAAUCAAAAUUGCCGACCCUGUCAAUCUCGCUGGAACGACGUCUAGCUCGUUGUGCUCCACUCACUCUAACGGCAUAUCUCAUAACUAAAGCUAUGAACAAGUGCUUCAGUUAUGCUGGUGGCAAUACAUUGCUUGAGGUGACCUCGUGUGCAAGAUUAUCCCCAUGGAGGGCGCUGGCACGGAGACAUUUGCUCACAUCAGUACUAUGAGCAGCCUGGUUGGGUGGUGACGUUUCCGAGUGGCCAAGCAAGAGCUUUUUUUUGGUCUACACCUAUGCAGUGGUGACUUCUGCUACAAUGUGCAUCAACACCAGAACCAUGUUCCUGAUCAUGGACGCUGUUGUGUCCCUCACCGGCUCUCUCCUUGCCAUCACCGACAGGGUUGUGCAGGCCACUACUCGCGCAACUACUUUGCAGUGUGGAGCAUGCCAUCGAGAUAGACCAAAAGAAG